rnacentral:rRNA from 1 species
UACGGGGGGGGCAAGCGUUGUUCGGAAUUACUGGGCGUAAAGGGCUCGUAGGCGGCCAACUAAGUCCGACGUGAAAUCCCAAGGCUUAACCUUGGAACUGCGUCGGAUACUGGAUGGCUUGAAUUCGGGAGAGGGAUGCAGAAUUCCAGGUGUAGCGGUGAAAUGCGUAGAUAUCUGGAGGAACAUCGGUGGCGAAGGCGGCAUCCUGGACCGAUAUUGACGCUGAGGCGCGAAAGCCAGGGGAGCAAACGGG